rnacentral:rRNA from 1 species
UACGUAGGGUGCGAGCGUUGUCCGGAUUUAUUGGGCGUAAAGAGCUUGUAGGCGGCUCGUCGCGUCGGGUGUGAAAACUUGCGGCUUAACCGCAAGCCUGCACCCGAUACGGGCGGGCUAGAGUUCGGCAGGGGAGACUGGAAUUCCUGGUGUAGCGGUGAAAUGCGCAGAUAUCAGGAGGAACACCGGUGGCGAAGGCGGGUCUCUGGGCCGAUACUGACGCUGAGGAGCGAAAGCGUGGGGAGCGAACAGG